rnacentral:tRNA from 1 species
UGGUUGCGGGAGUAGGAUUUGAACCUACGACCUUCAGGUUAUGAGCCUGACGAGCUACCGGGCUGCUCCAUCCCGCG